rnacentral:rRNA from 1 species
AGUGGCGAACGGGUGAGUAACACGUGGGCAACCUGCCCAAAAGAGGGGGAUAACACUUGGAAACAGGUGCUAAUACCGCAUAACCAUAGUUACCGCAUGGUAACUAUGUAAAAGGUGGCUAUGCUACCGCUUUUGGAUGGGCCCGCGGCGCAUUAGCUAGUUGGUGGGGUAAAGGCUUACCAAGGCAAUGAUGCGUAGCCGAACUGAGAGGUUGAUCGGCCACAUUGGGACUGAGACACGGCCCAAACUCCUACGGGAGGCAGCGGUAGGGAAUCUUCCACAAUGGGCGAAAGCCUGAUGGAGCAACGCCGCGUGGGUGAAGAAGGUCUUCGGAUCGUAAAACCCUGUUGUUAGAGAAGAAAGUGCGUGAGAGUAACUGUUCACGUUUCGGCGGUAUCUAACCAGAAAGCCACGGCUAACUACGUGCCAGCAGCCGCGGUAAUACGUAGGUGGCAAGCGUUAUCCGGAUUUAUUGGGCGUAAAGAGAACGCAGGCGGUCUUUUAAGUGAGAUGUGAAAUACUCGGGCUCAACUUGAGUGCUGCAUUUCAAACUGGAAGUCUAGAGUGCAGGAGAGGAGAAUGGAAUUCCUAGUGUAGCGGUGAAAUGCGUAGAGAUUAGGAAGAACACCAGUGGCGAAGGCGAUUCUCUGGACUGUAACUGACGCUNANGCUCGAAAGCGUGGGNAGCAAACAGGAUUAAAUACCCUGNUA